GACGAACGCUGGCGGCGUGCCUAAUACAUGCAAGUCGAACGCAGUGGGGACGGGUGAGUAACACGUGGGUAACCUCCCAUCACAGGGGAUAACACUUGGAAACAGGUGCUAAACCGAUACUGAUGGAUGGACCCGCGGUGCAUUAGCUAGUUGGUGAGGUAACGGCGCACCAAGGCCACGAUGCGUAGCCGAACUGGGAGGAUGAUCAGCCACACUGGCACUAAGACACGGCCCAGACUCCUACGGGAGGCAGCAGUAGGGAGUCUUCGGCAAUGGACGAAAGUCUGACCGAGCAACGCCGCGAGAGUGAAGAAGGUUUCCGGAUCGUAAAACUCUGUUGUUCGAGAAGCGGUAGCUAACCAGAAAGCCACGGCUAACUCCGUGCCAGCAGCCGCGGUAAUAC
rnacentral:rRNA from 1 species